rnacentral:tRNA from 1 species
GCCUGGCUGGCUCAGUUGGUUAAGCGUCUGACUUCGGCUCAGGUCAUGAUCUCACAGUUUGUGGGUUCGAGCCCCGCGUCGGGCU